AUACACAGAGAACCACGUGGAGGAAAAGCACGCGAGUUUGGAGCGGGUGGAGCAGGAACAGAGGUGGACUGGAAUGUCACACGACGGGGCAGCUGGAAGGGCACCACUGAGUUCAGUACUUCAAAAUUGCCGUGCUCUACCUCUCCCCAGUGCACAAAAACACUCUCCACACCAAGCUGCUGCUGCUGGGGGAUGGAGGGAUGGCGUCAGCGAUUCAAGACUGUUUUUCCUACCUGUUCAGCACUUCUUUCAGCGAUAUGAAGUUAAAUCCAGGCCAAGUUCCCACCUGGUGGGAAGCACUGUGCAGGUUCGUGGGGAUGCAGCCCUGCACAGCCCAGACUGGACUCCUUCCCCAUGGAACUCACAACACACGGGAGAGGCAGAGAGAUCCAAGCGCACAGAAAAACACAAGAAGAUUCAGCCCUGUCAUCUUGUGCAAAAGUCACACAGGCUAGAGUGCAGUGGCAUGAUCUCAGCUCCCCACAACCUCUGCCUCCGAUGUUCAAGCGAUUCUCCUGUCUCAGCCUCCUGAGUAGCUGGAAUUACAGGUGCCCACCACCACGCGCGGCUAAUAUUUGUGUUUUUAGUAGAAAUGGGGUUUCACCAUGUUGGCCAGGCCAGCCUCGAACUCCUGACCUCGGGUGAUCAGCCUGCCUUGGCCUCCCAAAGUGCUGGCGUUACAGGCAUGAUCAUGGCUCAUUUCUUUUUAGCACUGAAUGAUAUUCCAUUGUCAGGAUGUACCACAGUUUGUUUAUCCAUUCACCUACUGAAGGACAUUUUGGUUGCUUCUAAGUUUUACCAGUUAUGAAUGAAGCUGCUAUAAACAUCUGUGUACAGAUUUUUUUGUGGACAUAAGUUUUCACCUCCUUUGGGUAAAUACCAAAGAGUGGGCUUGCUGGAUUUUACGAUAAGAGUAUGUUUAAUUUGUAAGAAACCACCUAACUGUCUUCCACAGUGACUGUUCUAUUUUUGCCUCCCCACCAGCAAUGAAUGAGAGCUCUCAUUACUCCCUGCUUUCACCAGCAUUUUGUGGUGUCCGUGUUUUGGAUUUGGUCAUUCUAAUAGGUGUGUAAUGAUAUGUCAUUAUUGUUUUAAUUUGCAACUUCCUCAUGACAUCUGAUGCUAAGCAUCUUUCAAUAU
rnacentral:lncRNA from 1 species